UGCGUAGGCGGGCUAAUAAGUCAGUGGUGAAAUCUCUCGGCUCAACCGGGAAACUGCCAUUGAUACUGUUAGUCUUGAGUUCGGUUGAGGUAGGCGGAAUGUGUAAUGUAGCGGUAAAAUGCUUAGAUAUUACACAGAACACCAAUUGCGUAGGCAGCUUACUAGACCGACACUGACGCUGAGGCACGAAAGCGUGGGGAGCGAACAGGAUUAGAUACCCUGGUAGUC
rnacentral:rRNA from 1 species